CAUUCGAGCCGGGCCCCUCUUGGCAGGCAAGGCGUUGCCUGCGAUGUCGGUUCGCAAUG
rnacentral:ncRNA from 1 species